UAGCUACGGACGGUUAUCAAAUGUGGAUCAUACUAUGAUCCGAAAAAUGGACGGAUGGGAUCAUCUGAUAUCUGCGACGACUAAAAUGGAAGAGCCAUUAGAAAUCUCGUUCGGCGGCAAGGCAAUUGCAACCCUAAUCGAAUCGAACACCACCCAUUCCGACCGAUUCGUCCUCGAACAGCUCUCCGACCUGCUCAAAAGUCGACCUUGGAUAGCGUUCAUGGCGUCCAAUGACCCGAAAAUGGACAUGAAUCUCCAAGUUCAGAUCCAACAUUCUGUUACGAAGAAGAAAAAGGUUUCGGUGAGAACAUCUUGAUUGACCAGUAAAGAAACUCCAGAGAUGAAGCAACAAUAGUGUCCGAGAGAAUCAUCUGCGUCUACUUCAAGAGAUGGCUCCAAUUUACCGCACAGCAUGGUAGCAAAUUAUGGGCCCUUAAUUCUCCAGAAGAAAUGCUCUGCAGCGCUUGAUCUUUAUGUAGGCGAGAGUGUGUUCAUGCUGGAAGGAUGUGACUGUUACAACACUGCCGUCUCAGCAUUUGAAGCUGUGGAUCAUCAAAGUGUCCACCUUCAAUGUCACAGCUCGAUGGACUUCCACCACCAACGUUUAGCAUGCGCCAGAGUGCUAGAACUCAAACGAAACUGUUCCUCUUUCACUUCAGCUGACGAACUGUUUUGACUUCAGAUUUGGAGCCCACAAGAAGUCCCUAAAGGUGUUGUACUGGAACUUUCAUGUUUCUGAUGAGUGCAGAUAAAAUUUCAGAUGGGAGAUGCGGGUAUCAAUUAGAACAAAUCGAAACCAGAGUCGUGUCAGAUUAGAAGCUCAUUGUAUAGAUGAUUGAAUUAGCAAAACAAAUGAAGAAAAAGCAGUUCCAAGUCUCACCGACAGUGGUGGACUAUCUCCUGCAUUAAUCCUUUCAAAGACCAUUAUUACUCCUCUGAAUCAGCCAGAAUCUUGCCAAGCCCAGAAUCUCCUUUCUAAGAAUUUACAGUGGAAGAAGAAAGAAAGCAGUAGGCAGUAGCAGUAUUACUCAAAUUCAAUCCCCUGAUGCAAUAAAGGUGCCACAAAGGACUAAAGGUAGCUGCAACACAUGACAGCAAUCCAACUUGUACUUAUCUGCAUGAUAGAUCCAGUGCCACAAGGCAUGGGAAUUUUACAUGGCUACAAGAUUGAUUUGGGGAUGAAGUGCAAGGAUGUCAAAUUCAGUGAGAUGAAAAGGAGACUUAAACUAAUCUACACUCUUUCAAGUGAGCAUAUGCUAAGCUAUCUGACAUGUAGGAAGCUUAAGUUCAGGUAAAUAAAGAGUGGUCCUUGUGGUUGUGUUCUUCACUCAGGGAAUGGUCCUUGUAGUCAUGUUCUUCACUCAAUGGGUAGAGAUCACUCCUCUCUUUCUCAAGUUCUACAUCACAGUCCAUCGAUCACCAAAGUUCACACUAGGGACCAUUGCUACAUUCCAUGUCAUUUCAUGGUGGUCCAGAUUGUUUUUCCUGUUGCUUUCUUAGAAGUGCUGCUCUCCGUCGAGAACCAAUCAAGCUUUACUUAUGAGUGGAGGCAGCUCAUGACAAGAAAUAGGAAAAACUUAAGGAUACUUUUACUUCCGUAUGUGUAAGACUUCUUACCAAGAACAAAAGCUUUUUGAGCCUAAGAGAAAUGGUCAUGAAGUGAGGUAGCAUUCCUUCCUACUGAGAUCAUAAUCACAGACUGAUGAAAGAUUUCUGCUUUCCUUGUUUGGGUUUAGAAUUCUAGUUCGACGGUUGGCUCCACCUAUCAUGAUUGCUAUCAUUGAUACCACAUGUGAAUUCGGGAUGGAUGAGAGGCUCUUCUCUGUUGUCACCAGCAAGAUUGGCACUACUUUGUUGGCUUGGACCCUACGAUGCUACUGAGGUUGGAAGAUGUUUCUUCCAUACUACCUCUACCAACUUUUGUGGAAACUGUUUCAGUAGAAUGUUAGAGGUUAUAUAAAGAGAGCCAGAGCUGGGAGGAGAUGAAUAUCCAAUACAGGCCUUCAAACCAAGGGCAAUGGAGUCUCCAGCUUCAGAGUUGCUUGCCGGAGUGAUGAGCAUUUGGAAGAUGGGUUGUUCAGGGUGGAGAAGCAGGGCACGUGCAUCCAUAGCACAUAUUCCUGCUCGCAAAAUGAAGAGUUGUGCCUGUCUUCAUGUGCUCAUCUUCUCCACCAUGCACAACCAAUCUUAUAACUACGAGAAUGAGUUGGUCUGCAGGAUUGGCAAACUUGAAGUCACAGUUGGUCGCUUCACCAUUGCAACCAUGAUCUCUUGUUCAAAUCCCAGUCUCUGUAGGAUGUGAACCAAGGCAUAGUUCAAAUGACAAAUAUAUGCCUCUUUUUAUUAUAUAUCAUUUAUAGAUUUCGUCAAGUUCAGGUUAUGCACUCAUGAUCUUUUGCUCAGUCAAUUCCUCCCAUAUUAAGCACUUCAAAAACCAAAGUUGACUUGGAUUGAAGUUCAAGUUCUGCUAUCUUAUUGAAAUCUUUGGAGGACUAACAUAGUGAGGAUAAACAUCAGAGUUAAAUGGAAUGUGGUGGUGGCAGCUGUUGAUGUAUUAUUGAAAGGAAAACGAGUCUUCUUUCACAAUCAUUCUAUCAAUGGAGAAUUCAUUCUUUUUAGAAGUUGGAUUUGUUAGGUGAUUACAUAACAAUCCGAGAUUCUUCUAAAGUAUCUCAUAUUAAUUUUGUGAUCACAUAACUUCAAGAUGCUCCACAUCAAAAAUUUUGCGAUUGCGAUCAACUAAACAUUGUUUGAGAUGCUCUACAUUCAGUCACAAGAGAGAAAGAGAAUGAAGCAGGAUGCCAAGAACAAUAACAUCUGUUGUUAGAUUUCAUCAUGAACAAUUUGGAUUUCACAAUUGUUUGACUAAUCCAAUUCCAGAAAUGGAAUGCACCAAGAAACAUCAGCAAGGUUUCAUAAGCAAUGAUGAAGGCUUUAAGUCAAUGGAAAGAGAAGAUGAACUACUUGUUCCUUCAGAGAUUUGGUUUCAGUGAGGAAGUGUUAAACAUGAAAAGUCUUUCCUUCAAGAAAAGUGCAUAUUAGAGCUUCAAUAAACUUUUACUAUGAUAUGUUCAUUGGAUAUGGAACAUGAGAGAACACAGUAGGAAUUAAACAGAAGUUAAUUGUUCUCCCUUGCUCUAUACAUAGAAGAUAAAUCCUGAAAAUUGCAGUUAAAGGUAAAGUUUCAUGCCUCAUUCUAA